GCCCCGGUAGUGAAAUGGGAUCAUGGCUGCCUGUCGAGCAGCAGUACGGGGAUCGAAACCCCGUCGGGGCG
rnacentral:tRNA from 1 species